AGCAGCAGCCGCGGUAAUACGGAGGGGGCUAGCGUUGUUCGGAAUUACUGGGCGUAAAGCGCACGUAGGCGGCUUGGUAAGUUAGAGGUGAAAGCCUGGAGCUCAACUCCAGAAUUGCCUUUAAGACUGCCGAGCUAGUAGGUGAGAGAGGUAAGUGGAAUUCCGAGUGUAGAGGUGAAAUUCGUAGAUAUUCGGAAGAACACCAGUGGCGAAGGCGGCUUACUGGUCCAUUACUGACGCUGAGGUGCGAAAGCGUGGGGAGCAAACAGGAUUAGAGACCCCCGUAGUCCCUGUCUCUUAUAC
rnacentral:rRNA from 1 species